rnacentral:rRNA from 1 species
GCUUUACUGUAGCCUGGAAUUGUGUUCGGGCUUGGCUUGCGCAGGAUAGGUGGGAAGCGAAGAAGUACCCCUUGUGGGGGGUAUGGAGCUAACGGUGAGAUACCACUCUGGCGAAGCUAGAAUUCUAACCUCACACCCUGAGCGGGUGUAGGAACAGUUUCAGGUGGGCAGUUUGACUGGGGCGGUCGCCUCCUAAAAGGUAACGGAGGCGCGCAAAGGUUCUCUCAGCACGCUUGGAAACCGUGCGGCGAGUGUAAAGGCAGAAAGAGAGCUUGACUGCAAGAGUUACAACUCAAGCAGGGACGAAAGUCGGCCUUAGUGAUCCGACGGCACAGCAUGGA